CCCGGAUAGCUCAGUCGGUAGAGCAGGGGAUUGAAAAUCCCCGUGUCCUUGGUUCGAUUCCGAGUCCGGGCACCAU
rnacentral:tRNA from 1 species